ACCCAUCAAGUCAUAAAAGACUGAAAACGGCCAAGUUAAAAAAAACAUCUAGUCAUGAAAGACUGAAAACGGCCAAAUUAAAAAGAACUUUCAAGUCAUGAAAGACUGAAAACGGCCAAGUUAAAAAAGAACCAUCCAUCAAGUCAUGAAAGACUGAAAACGGCCAUGUUAAAAAAAAGCCAUCAGGUCAUGAAAGACUAAAAACGGCCAAGUUAAAAACAGAAUUUAGUCAUGAAAGACUAAAAACGGCCAAGUUAAAAACAGAAUUUAGUCAUGAAAGACUGAAAACGGCCAAGUUAAAAAAAAAACAAUCCAAGUCAUCAAGGACUGAAAAAGGCCAAGUUAAAAAAACUUUCAAGUCAUGAAAGACUGAAAAGGGCCAAGCUAAAAAAAAAAAACAUCUGGUCAUGAAAGACUGAAAACGGCAAAGUUUUUAAAAGAAAACUUUCAAGUCAAUAAAGACUGAAAACGGCCAAGUUUUUUUUUUAAAACUUUCAAGUCAUGAAAGACUGAAAACAGCCAAGCGAAAAAAGAACUUUCAAGUCAUGAGAGACUGAAAACGGCCAUGUUAAAAAAAAAAUCUAGUCUUGAAAGACUAAAAACGGCCCAGUUUUUAAAAAGCCAUCAAGUCAUGAACGACUGAAAACGGCCAAGC